UACAGAGGGUGCAAGCGUUGUUCGGAAUUAUUGGGCGUAAAGGGCGCGUAGGCGGCGCGACAAGUCACUUGUGAAAUCUCCGGGCUUAACUCGGAACGGUCAAGUGAAACUGUCAUGCUAGAGUGCAGAAGGGGCAAUCGGAAUUCUUGGUGUAGCGGUGAAAUGCGUAGAUAUCAAGAGGAACACCUGAGGUGAAGACGGGUUGCUGGGCUGACACUGACGCUGAGGCGCGAAAGCCAGGGGAGCAAACGGG
rnacentral:rRNA from 1 species